GAUGAACGCUGGCGGCGUGCCUAAUACAUGCAAGUCGAGCGAACAGAUGAGGAGCUUGCUCCUCUGACGUUAGCGGCGGACGGGUGAGUAACACGUGGAUAACCUACCUAUAAGACUGGGAUAACUUCGGGAAACCGGAGCUAAUACCGGAUAAUAUAUUGAACCGCAUGGUUCUAUAGUGAAAGACGGUUUUGCUGUCACUUAUAGAUGGAUCCGCGCCGCAUUAGCUAGUUGGUAAGGUAACGGCUUACCAAGGCAACGAUGCGUAGCCGAUCUGAGAGGGUGAUCAGCCACACUGGAACUGAGACACGGUCCAGACUCCUACGGGAGGCAGCAGUAGGGAAUCUUCCGCAAUGGGCGAAAGCCUGACGGAGCAACGCCGCGUGAGUGAUGAAGGUCUUCGGAUCGUAAAACUCUGUUAUUAGGGAAGAACAAAUGUGUAAGUAACUAUGCACGUCUUGACGGUACCUAAUCAGAAAGCCACGGCUAACUACGUG
rnacentral:rRNA from 1 species